CGCAGAGGGGGGCGGGAAGGUUGUAGUGCCGCGCGUUGCUCUCCUUUCGCCUGUCCCUGAGUGGUCGCGCCCCCCUCGCGAGCCGCCGCGUGGAGGCUCUGCAGUCCCCAGCGCCUUCCGCUGCCAGGUGAUUGUAAAGUGCUGAUUGGUUGCCACCAGACAUAAUUGAAAACAGAAUAGGAAGAUGGCAGCAAAUCCUUCAGGACAAGAGCAAUUGCCAAAACCCCAACUUGAUAAAGAUGUCAUUGAAAGGAAUGCAGUGCACUGUUGAAAGUGUAAACUACUUAAACCAUGUCAUGUGGUGUCCAACAAAUGUUUUCAAAACAAAAACAGAGUUGCAAUCUUGGCAGAACUGGACAAAGAGAAAAGAAAAUUACUUAUGCAGAACCAGUCUUCAACAAAUCAUCCUGGAGCAAGCAUUGCACUCUCCAGACCUGCUCUGAAUAAGGAUUUCCGAGAUCAUGCUGAGCAGCAGCACAUAGCAGCCCAGCAGAAGGCAGCUUUGCAGCAUGCUCAUGCACAUUCAUCUGGAUACUUCAUAACUCAAGACUCUGCAUUUGGGAAUCUUAUUCUUCCAGUUUUGCCUCGCCUUGACCCAGAGUGAAGAAAAUAUUUGUGAUGAAAAUGACUUCGUAAUACCAAAUGCCAAAGCCUCUAUCAUUCAGUGCUAUACAAACAGUGACUUUCAGAAUUUCAGUGAACUUUUAUAUUUUCUGCUUCUUUAAAAGAAAGGAAUGUAUAAGUAAAAACAAAACAAAACAAAACAAAAAACAAACGGUAACUAGGAUGAUGGAGAGCUUUAGGAGCCGUAUCGUCUGAGGAACUGAUUAUGCUGCCCAUGACAGCAACUGUUCUGAAAUGCUGUUUGAUUUUAACUCUAAAUCAGAUUCUGAAUUGGAUGGUCAUAUAAAAUCACACCCUAGCCCCCAACAGGUUUGACUGACUAUAUCUAUCAUGUCCACACUAGAUUUUCAAGAGUCGUUUAUAGUACUUACCUUAAAGAAAUGAGGGUGCUUUAUAACAUGUGAACCAGUAGCUUAAAUAAGUUACAUUCAUAUUGGGUGUUUGGAGGAUUAGUGUCAGCAUACCUUUUGAUUUUAUAGUUAACAAAAGAACCUGAAAUAUUCUUUGUGAACUUGUAUUUCCCCUAUUUUUCAAUUCUAAACAAAAACUCAAGAUAAGACUAAAUUACCAAACAGUCUUAUCUUUAAUAAACAUACGCCAUAAUAAAUGAUGUGACUAAAUGCUAUUAAAAACAAUUAUAAUAAAUGUGGUGGCUUUUAAAUUCAUACAUGCUCUUAUGGAGCAUUACCAUAUAAAUGGUCUGCUUGUGUGGUUUUAUGGUCCAUUAUUGUUCUAAUUAAAACUUACGCAAGUUGAGAUCACUAUUCAUUCCUUUGAAUAGGAAGGAGUUAAGUUUCUCAACAUGACCAAUCAUCUUUAACAGACUCUGGGGUGCUUAUGUAAAUAUGCAGUCCCCACUACCCUACCCCAGUCCUACAGAAUUAGAAUCUGAUUAAAAAUAAAGUCUGAAGGGCGGUGCCUGUGGCUCAAAGAAGUAGGGCGCCGGCCCCAUAUGCUGGAGGUUGUGGGUUCAAACCCAGCCCCGGCCAAAAACUACAAAAAAAAAAAAAAAAGUCUGAAAAUGAUGGGUUAGAGAAUUGUAUAAUAUAUCUUGUACAGAAUUUUCAUGAUAUAUUUAUAUACUCAUGGUUUUACAGAUUCCUAAAACUUAGAGAUCAUUUAGUUAAAAUAUACAUUUUUCUUUUAAUAGGACUGAAAUUGUAUUUUAUACUAUAUCACAGAUAAACUAUUUUAUAUAACAUUUUAUAACCUCAUUUUGGCCUUGAGUCCUGUAGGACAGAAUUUAAACUUAAAGUUCCAAUUUGGGUUAAUAUUUAGUCAAAAUUCUCUCUUUCAGAGUUUCUUCUCCCCUCCCUUCCCCAGAUAUUUUCACCAACCACACAGCCCCAUCCUACUCAAAUUAAGUGAAGCAGGGGUAGAUGAUUCUAGAAUUAGAUGUGCCAUUUAGAUUCUUUCUCUUGAGAAUUUGAACUGAUUUCCUUCAUUAGGGUGAGUUGGCAGCUGUCUCUAUUACAAUGGUCACCACUGCAGAGAAGAGCCCCCUUCCUCCUGACAGAACUUUUGAGGGGCCUCUGGGUCCUGCCCCGUCUCAGGUCCUUUCAGCUACUCCUUGUGGUCAUUUUCCUGAAUUAAUUUCAGUGUUUCUGUUCUCUGUGAUCUGCAACAUACUGACAUGGUUCUAAUCUCUAGUGAUACUAGGAAGAAAAAACAUUUGUAUAGUUUUUACACUAUUGAAGACUUUACCUAAUGUGUGACUUCUGUAACUCAGGUACAGAGAUCUUUUUACCAGUAAUACCCUUUCUAGUCUCUUAGCCUUUUAAAUAAAUAGCUGUGGCCUAAAUCCUGAAGUCCUGGCUAGGAAGCACUUCCCCCUACUCUUUUGCUUACAAAUUCAGCUUAAUUCCUCUUGUUUUUGGGGACACAAAGCUGUCCUUAUGGAGGUCACAGUGAAGAGGACCCUAUUCUGGUAUACCGAUUGUUUAAAAGUACGCCAGAGAGUAGUAGUGGCACAAGAGAGGCAUCUGGGUGUGACGCUGCAAGUAGGCUUGGGUAGGCUGAGAAGUAUUUGUAUGAUUUAACUGGAAAGGGAGGGAAGAGCUGUUGCAGUUGAAAGUCAAGAUUGCAUAAUCAGGCCAGGCAUGGUGGCUCACGCCUGUAAUCCUAGCACUCUGAGAGGCUGAGGUGGGUGGAUUGCCUGAGCUCACAGGUCCAAGACCAGCCUGAGUAAGAGCGAGACCGCACCUCUCUAAAAAUAGCUGGGCACUGUGGCGAGCACCUGUAGUCCCAGCUACUUGGGAGGCUGAGGCAAAAGAAUCACUUGAGCCCAAAAGUUUGAGGUUGCUAUGAACUAUGACGCCACGGCACUCUACUGAGGGUGACAAAGUAAGACUCUGCCUCAAAAGAAAAAAAAAAAGAUUUCAUAAUCAAAGAGAAGAGGGCGCUGGGCGAAUGCAAGCACCUCAGAAGAUGAUGGAAAGGGUAGCUCUGGGGUGAAGUUGCUUCCCUUGGAUCAUGGGGGAAUUGGGUAGCUCACUUAGUCUCUCUUUGAAUGUUGUUCUAAUCUGUAAAAUGGGAACAGCACACACUGCCUUUGUCAUAGAUUAUCUAGACAGCAUUUUUCAUUGUAUAAGUCUCAACCCAUUGCUGAGACACCAAUAUAGGGCUUAAUGGGGUGUGACCUUUAAAAAAAAAAAAUAGCAUCCAGCACACUGCCCAUAGUGAGAAGUGGUUUUGUUUCCCGAAUCUUCUGUUUCAGUGUGUUCCUACGGGUGUGCAUUGUACUCACUAGGAUGUAAGGUCUUUGAGGGCAAGGAUUUCUUUCCCUCCUUUUCUCUUUCCUUCCUCUUUGUUCACUAUUGUACUCUGCAUAGAAUAGUGUUUGGCAUAUAGCAGGUGUUCAGUAUAUACAUACUGAAGGGAUGACGAAAGGAUAUACAUGGCCUGAGUUGUGAUGUAAUGUGUAAUUUUUUUUUUUUACUGUGAGUCAUGGCAAAAAUGCAUUGAAAGCCACUGCUAAAUAGUACGGAUGACAAUGCUUUGUAUGACCCUGGAAUAAAAAGUGAAAUAACUCCAUAAUUUCAAAGGCAGAUUUUUUUCCCUGAACAAUCUAUAAGCUGUUCAUUAAGUUGUCUCAGUUCUUUGCUUCACUUUGGCAAUAGAAGAUCAGCCAUUAUAUGAGUUUAAGGCCUAUGGAGGCAAGAGAUUUGGCAAAUGUGGUUAUACUGAGAAGAGAAGAUCACCGGAGUGUGAAUUCAUUAGUGCAGUUCAGCCUGCCUGCCAGAAUCCUGUCAGCCAGCACAAGUCCCAUUCUGACAGCUUGAAACUCAACCAAUAUUGACUGAGUGCUGUGCUAUUCACCUCUGUCUGCACGGUGAUGCAUACACAGUAGACACCCACAAAUGUUUUUAAGUGAGCAGAUAACGAACAUGGACAAUGAGGAGGAGGAGGACAUAGUCACUGUCCUCAAUCUGACAACUUAGAGUGAGCAAGACUGGUAAUUAACACUGGAGGCAGCUGGGGGAGAGAAUGUGGACAUGAGCCCGAAAGCGCCCGUGAGGCUCCAUCAGAGAGCAAGUAUUUGAGCUUGGCUUUGAAGAUGAGAUUUCAGCUAGGGAAGAGGACAGCAGCAUACAAAGCAAAGGAAAUCUGCACACAGGCAGGAGGAGAGCCAGCCCAGGGGCUGCUGUGAAGAUCCCGAAGUCCAGUUCAGCUGGAGCAGAGACAGGUUCAUGCAGAUGGAUAAUUAGUAAUGAGGCUAACAGGAGGCUGGAUUCAUACUCCAGAGCAUCUUAAAGUCCAUGGUGAAGCAAAUACCUUUAGCUUGAUAUACAGCUGGGAGCCGUGGAACAUUCUGGGGCAUAGGCAGGUAUAGAGAUGAACCCAUUCAACCCUCAUCAGCUCUUGGGAAAGGGGAACUUGGGAGGUACCAGAAGAAUGUUACUGUUAAUUUCUGAGAAUUCAGAGAGAAGUGUGUUCUGUUUGCAUCUACCUAUCAACUCUAUCCCCAUUUGACAUCUCUUCCAUUUCAGUUUUGGACCCUUCCUCAAACCUCUCUGUGCUUAUCCCCCCCCCCCCACUUAGCUGCCUUUCUUUUCUCAUCCAGUUUUCUUCUAUAGCUCUACCUCCAAAAACAUUGCAAGAAGGAAAAAGCAAGGCAUCCUCACACAGUAUUCUACCCUCACCCCCAACAGCUCAAAGGUAGAGAGAUGGAGACCCUCAGGAAAUCUCAGCAUGACUUUUGCCUUUCCCCCUUCCUAACAAUGCUUGGAUGGGCCACACUCCUUCCACAACAGCCGUGUCCUUCAGGGGAAGCUGACUCAGCCCCCAAACAGGAGCGAACCUUACAUGCUCUGAGCCAAUCAGAGUUACUUCCCUUUUGCCACAGUUGACUGCUUCAGGUAACUCCUGCCCACACCAGUUAGCACACAGUAUUUCCAGACCACAGGAAUUGGUUCAGGAUUGUAUAGUUACUCAGAUGAGACUCCAGGAAAGGACUGCUGAGCUUAUGGAAAGGAUGCAUUUUCACCCUUCAGAGAACAUUAUCAAAAGGGACUCUCCAGAUUUGUAAGGAAGCAUUCAAUCCCCAGCGUUGUUGGCAGCUGUCUGUGACUGUGAAGCGGAGCCAGUUUUAGGAGGAAGCCAUCACCCUAAAAGUUGUAGGAGGUUCCUGCCCAGCCACAGAUCCAGGUUUAAAACCCUUUGAUCAGAAGGAAUUCAGCUGCUACCUCAGUGGAUGCUUCUCCAAUACAGUCUUGAAAAUCGCUUCAGUGCCACAGGUGUUAUUGCUGCUGAGCGUCUCCCAGGAGAGCUGGAGCCUUACAGUGCUGUAGCGAAUAGAGUGAAGCGACAGCAUAGUUCUGUUAAGGAAACAUGAAGAGCGUAGGCCAGCCCUCAUUCUGCAUUGCUGGUCCUAUUGAUUCAGGUUCUCAGAGAAACAUCCAACAGGCUCUGAACAGCUGCAGGCUGGAAACAGACGUCUGUCCUGGGAGGCCCAGACCUUCACUGGAGAAAUGAGUUCUCUACCCAGUUCAGCCACGUGAGUCAAAUGCUCAGAGAAGCAAAGCUGCUCCCUUUAAUAAACUUGGGUCCUUGGGAUGGCAGGUGCCUUGCAGGUGACAGCAACUGGCUUGAAGUUUCUGUUCAAUGUUGAUGUCCUCUGAGGCAGAAGAAUCCAAGAGGACUGACCUGCUCACGUGUGCCGUGCACCAGGAGGAAAAAAUGGCAGUGAAAAUGCUCCUGAGCAGAAGGACUAAAACAAGCAGAUGGAAAGGAAAAGAAGGAAAAGGAAGCGCACUGGUGCAGGAGGGUGGGGACACACACCUUCUGAAAUACGACACAUCAGACUGGCCCUCGGAGACUCCCUCAGGCCCUGGUACGCAUCAGGAAAAGCGGGCCCUCCCGGCAUCUAGAGGCCCUGUUGCCUCGACCCCGUGCUGCACACCCGUGGCGAUGCUCGCCUGGAGCUUCUCCCUUCUUCCAAGUGGCAACUCUGAGGAGUGCAUGUCCCUGGGGUAAAGGAGAAGGCCACGUGCUAUCCUGGGCCCAGGAACCCCUGGCUCACUUUGCGGUUUUCACAGCAUUCUCACGAGACUGGAUCACAUCUCAGUCUCAUAAUUACAGCUCUCUUACGGCUGCUGGAAUCAGCCCCCAAAUUUCCACAGAUCUAUUUUCUUUUCUUUCUUUCUUUUUUUGAGACAGAGUCUCAAGCUUACACCCUGGGUAGAGUGCCAUGGCAUCAUGAUAGCUCACAACAACCUCCAACUCUUGGGCUCAAGCAAUCCUCUUGCCUCAGUUUUUCUAUUAUUAGUAGAAACAGUCUCGCUCUUGCUCAGGCUGCUUUGGACUCCUGAGCUCAAGCAAUCCACCCACAUUGGCCUCUCAGAGUGCUGGGAUUACAGGCGUGAGCCACCGUGCCUGGCCACCAUGGAUCUAUUUUCCUCAUUGAGAGAACAAAAUCUGUUCCCAGGCCCCACCACGCAGUAGGUACAAAUGAGGCCACAGAACAACUCAAACUUCACAGGCUCUUGUCGUCAUGGCUACAACCCGGCAAGCUCACCUGAAAAUCUGGCUUGGGCCUUAUUGCCUUUGUCAGCAUCAUCAUUUCCAGUUCUCCUUCAGUUCCCUUCUUUUAGUGUAAAGAGUCUAUGAUUUUAUGAGAUUGACAAGGAGGGCCGUAGAACCUCCAGUGCAGUUGUUUUGUUUGUUUUUAACUCUUCCUUAUGGAACAUUUUAAACAUGUACCAAAGAACAGAGGAGAGAUAAUGAACUCUCACUUACCCAUUACUUUAACAAUGAUCUGCUCAGGCCAAUUUGUGUCUCAUCUACGCUUCCAUGUACUGGAUACCUCUGGAUUAUUUUGAAGCAAUUCCUUAAAUCUUUUAGAGUAUACCUCAAGAAGACA